UUUAGGGAGACCCAAAUCAAUUCAAGAAUCAAAAUUCUUAAACAGGAUUUUGAAUUGAUAAUAUUGAAUUGGUUUUAUCCCGAGGUCGGUCGAGGAAAAGUGAUUGGCUUUCAAACUAUAGAUUGGUUCGAUAAAAAUUCCACAAGCGAACAACAAAAGAUGGUUCUAAGUGGGCAAACAGUCAAAUCGAUUGUUAUACUCAAUAACAAUGACUGCAAAAGUAUUGUUAAAAAGCAAUACGUAAUUUAAGAGAUGAGUCUAGCAAUCUUGCAUUAAUCAGCAAAACUGCUGGGUGUUAUCCAGCCAGAACCUUGAAAACUGCAUAGUAACGCGAAGCAGGUAGGCACAGACGUGCAAAGAAAUCAUGAGAUGAUUUCAGAAACGAAAGUGUUUGCUUUUGAUAGAUAUCACCAAUUGUUGAGU
rnacentral:misc_RNA from 1 species